rnacentral:rRNA from 1 species
AGUGAACGCAGGCAGUAGGCCUAACACAUGCAAGUCGAACGGCAGCACAGGAGAGCUUGCUCUCUGGGUGGCGAGUGGCGGACGGGUGAGGAAUACAUCGGAAUCUACUCUGUCGUGGGGGAUAACGUGGGGAAACUUACGCUAAUACCGCAUACGACCUACGGGUGAAAGCAGGGGACCUUCGGGCCUUGCGCGAUUGAAUGAGCCGAUGUCGGAUUAGCUAGUUGGCGGGGUAAAGGCCCACCAAGGCGACGAUCCGUAGCUGGUCUGAGAGGAUGAUCAGCCACACGGGAACUGAGACACGGUCCAGACUCCUACGGGAGGCAGCAGUGGGGAAUAUUGGACAAUGGGCGCAAGCCUGAUCCAGCCAUACCGCGUGGGUGAAGAAGGCCUUCGGGUUGUAAAGCCCUUUUGUUGGGAAAGAAAUCCAGCUGGCUAAUACCCGGUUGGGAUGACGGUACCCAAAGAAUAAGCACCGGCUAACUUCGUGCCAGCCGCCGCUGUAA